rnacentral:rRNA from 1 species
AGUCCUACGGGACGCAGCAGUAGGGAAUUUUCGUCAAUGGGCGCAAGCCUGAACGAGCGACGCCGCGUGGAGGAUGAAGGUUUUCGGAUUGUAAACUCCUUUUGUUAGAGAAGAUAAUGACGGUAUCUAACGAAUAAGCACCGGCUAACUCCGUGCCAGCAGCCGCGGUAAUACGGAGGGUGCAAGCGUUACUCGGAAUCACUGGGCGUAAAGAGCGCGUAGGCGGGAUAGCAAGUCAGAUGUGAAAUCCUAUGGCUUAACCAUAGAACUGCAUUUGAAACUGUUAUUCUAGAGUAUGGGAGAGG